rnacentral:lncRNA from 1 species
GCUUCAUUGUUUAUGGCGACUUGUAAAAGGGCUCUUCUGUGUGUCCUCACAGUCCUUGUGAAAUAGGGAGCCUUAGAGAGUGAAAGUGAAGAGAAGGCAGUGGAAGCUGAGGGAAGUGGAGAAGAAAGGAAAAAGCUGGGGAACAUGAGCCAGAGGAGGCCGAGAAUGUAGAUGGACCGGCAACAGCGUUAGGCCCACUGGAGACCAGCAAGCACAGGCAGGAUGGUAAGUGACAGGAGAGGACGCCACCCAACUUGCAGAGGUUAGAUGUGUGCGAAAAUUUGCCACCUGGUCAGAGAAAGCAAGUUCAGAUUUUUCCUGCCAGUGGAUCACACCUGCCUGAGCCCCAGAGCCAGCUCUCCUGAGUCGACUGUUCUGUGACACAGCCGCUGGCGGGGGCCAGACCUCCUCCUGACUCACCGUGCGCUGAAG